UACAGAGGCCUCGAGCGUUGCGCGGAAUCACUGGGCUUAAAGGGUGCGUAGGCGGAUGUGCAAGUGCCUUGUGAAAUCCCAGAGCUCAACUCUGGAACUGCUUGGUAGACUGCAUGUCUUGAGGUCGGUAGGGGUUGCUGGAACAGUUGGUGGAGCGGUGAAAUGCGUAGAUAUCAACUGGAACGCCAAAGGCGAAGGCAAGCAACUGGGCCGAUUCUGACGCUGAGGCACGAAAGCGUGGGGAGCAAACGGG
rnacentral:rRNA from 1 species